GACGAACGCUGGCGGCGUGCUUAACACAUGCAAGUCGAACGGAAAGGCGCUGAUUUUGCGUGGUGCUCGUGUGGCGAACGCGUGAGUAAAACGUGAGUAAAAUGUCCUUGACUUUGGGAUAACUUCACGAAAAUGGGGCUCUUACCGGAUAGGAGAUCUUGCUGCACGGGGGGGGUUGGUAAGUGUCGGCUGUUGGGGAUGGACUAGAGGCUUAUGGGCUGGUUGGUCGGGUAGUGGCUUACCAAGGCUGUGACGGGUAGCCGGCAUUAGAGGGUGACCGGCCACAUUGGGACUGCGAGACGGCCCAGUCGCCUAUGGGAGGCAGCGGUCGGGAAUAUUGCACAGUGGGCGGAAGCCAGAUACAGCAAUGCCGGGUGCGUGAUAACGGCCUACGGGUUGUAAACCGCUUUCGACUUUGCUGAACAGAUAGUGACGGUAAUGGGUAAGGAAGCACCGGCUAACUACGUG
rnacentral:rRNA from 1 species